rnacentral:rRNA from 1 species
AUUGAACGCUGGCGGCAGGCCUAACACAUGCAAGUCGAACGGUAACAGGAAGCAGCUUGCUGCUUUGCUGACGAGUGGCGGACGGGUGAGUAAUGUCUGGGAAACUGCCCGAUGGAGGGGGAUAACUACUGGAAACGGUAGCUAAUACCGCAUAACGUCGCAAGACCAAAGAGGGGGACCUUAGGGCCUCUUGCCAUCGGAUGUGCCCAGAUGGGAUUAGCUAGUAGGUGGGGUAACGGCUCACCUAGGCGACGAUCCCUAGCUGGUCUGAGAGGAUGACCAGCCACACUGGAACUGAGACACGGUCCAGACUCCUACGGGAGGCAGCAGUGGGGAAUAUUGCACAAUGGGCGCAAGCCUGAUGCAGCCAUGCCGCGUGUAUGAAGAAGGCCUUCGGGUUGUAAAGUACUUUCAGCGGGGAGGAAGGGAGUACAGUUAAUACCUUUGCUCAUUGACGUUACCCGCAGAAGAAGCACCGGCUAACUCCGUG